AUACGGAGGGGGCGAGCGUUAUUCGGAAUCAUUGGGCGUAAAGGGCGCGUAGGCGGCCUGACAAGUCAGGGGUGAAAUCCCUCGGUUCAACCGAGGAACUGCCUCUGAAACUGUCAGGCUUGAGGCCGGGAGAGGGUAGUGGAAUUCCCAGUGUAGCGGUGAAAUGCGUAGAUAUUGGGAGGAACACCAGUGGCGAAGGCGGCUACCUGGACCGGUUCUGACGCUGAGGCGCGAAAGUGUGGGGAGCAAACAGGAUUAGAUACCCUAGUAGUCC
rnacentral:rRNA from 1 species